rnacentral:rRNA from 1 species
GGGCCCGCACAAGUAGUGGAGCAUGUGGUUUAAUUCGAAGAUACGCGCAGAACCUUACCAACACUUGACAUGUUCGUCGCAACUCUAAGAGAUUAGAGUUUUCGGUUCGGCCGGACGAAACACAGGUGCUGCAUGGCUGUCGUCAGCUCGUGUCGUGAGAUGUUGGGUUAAGUCCUAUAACGAGCGCAACCCCUAUCGUUAGUUGCCAGCGAGUAAUGUCGGGAACUCUAACGAAACUGCCAGUGCAAACUGUGAGGAAGGUGGGGAUGACGUCAAAUCAUCACGGCCCUUACGUCCUGGGCUACACACGUGCUACAAUGGCCGGUACAGAGAGCAGCCACUUCGCAAGAAGGAGCGAAUCUAUUAAAACCGGUCUCAGUUCGGAUCGGAGUCUGCAACUCGACUCCGUGAAGCUGGAAUC